AGAAAUCAUUACAUCACUUGCUCGCCAAUGGAUCUUCUGCAGUGAAUGGGUGCCGUCAGAAUGAGAGUCAAACAGCUGAUAAAAACACCACAAUAAACCACAAGUAACACGCAGGAUUCCAAUCCAUCAAUUAAGAUCUUGUGAAGGAUAAACGUGCAUGUUUGUAAUAAAGAUAUCCAUCAUUAAGAGGCUUUCGAUUUCUUCAGUAUAAGAGAAAGUAUUCAGGAGAGAAAUAUGCACAGAUCAAACACAACUUGCAAGCCAAAACAGUUCAAAAUGGUUCUAAACAAAUACUGUGAUGCACACUCAUUCUGACGGCACCCACUGCAGAGGAUUCAUUGGUGAGCAUGUGAUGCAAUGCUAAAUUUCUCCAAAUCUGUUCCAAAGCUCCUUAUUUUUUUUAUUUUUUUUGGUGAACUAUUCCUCCCUGAAUUCCAAGUAAAUUUUUUAAUUCAAUCAUAUCUUGAAUAAACUAAACUAAAGUGCUACAUCCCAAGACAGUUUUGUUUUACACAAUAAUUGUGUUCUAAUAAAUAUAAAUAUUGAGUAACUAGUACUUCGACUGAAUUAGAAUUGUUGUUUUGUGAAUUUAAAUGUCAGUGUAAUGUUAUUGUAAAUACUGUGUUUUUUUUUAUUCUUCUUGUGUUGUGUAGACAUAAAAAAAAUGCCUCAUCUGUCCACUUUGCUCACAUUUUCAUUAAUAACAUGCAUGUCGAUCAGCCUCGAGUUUUCUGCUUUGUCCCCUUUGCUCUCUAGCAUGCAAAGAACAUCCUCCUAUUUUAGACUCCCAACACGCUGCUCUCAGCCUCAGAAGAGGAAGUGUGAUCCAGACCCGCUCAAUGGAGCCAAUGGAACUUGGCAGACAUCAGUAAUUGGAAACUUAAUCACGUAAGGCAAAGUCUGAUGGCGGGAAAUGAGGCCCUGCAGGAAGAGGAUGGGAAGACGGGGCCACAAUCAACAGAUGCCUUGAGUGGUGCUCUGCACAUGUUUUAUGCCACAUUCCCUGUUUCAUUUCUAUUAAUAUUCAGAGAAAUGUCGCGAAGUGAAGUGAAGCUCAAAGUAAAACAGCAGGGUACUUUGAAGUAGGUAACCUGCUUUCUCGUGGUCCUGGAAAACCGGGCCUCAAGAGGGAAUCAGAAAAUCAGUUUCUUUUCAGAGAAGAAGCGUGCUGAAAGUUUUAGGUCAAAGCUCCUUCUCUCUCAAGGCCGUUUGCAGAACAGUAGUGCCAAAAUGAUUUGAUCCAGGUUAACAGCAUGUACAUCACCCUGUAUAAAUGUUCAUGGCCAGCCCAUCUAUUCAGUCAGUCAGCCUGUGCCUGCUGUGUGAAGGAUACACACAUCCUGUCAUGAGCACGGUGACCCAAAAACACGGGCACACUGCCAAGAUACACCAAGGAAAGAGAGAACAAGAUUUCUGUUUUUCUGGAGAUUCUGUAAUGAUUUAACAAAAAUACUGCACUUUGACUUUCUAUAAAGUUGCUUUGAAACAAUAUUGCACCAUACAAAUAAAUUUGAAAAAAAAAAAAACAGAACAAUCAUUAUUAUUUACAAAUUAACAAUAACCUAGCUUAAUAAAUGCUGUGAAAAUGUCAUUCAUUCUUAGUUUAUGAUACCUAUAUUGUUACAGGAGGG
ensembl:lncRNA